GACGAACGCUGGCGGCGUGCUUAACACAUGCAAGUCGAACGGACCUGUUUUUGAAGCGCUUCGGCGUGGAUGGGACGGGGCAGUGGCGCACGGGUGAGUAAUGCGCGAGGACCUGCCCGCGGGAGGGGGACAGCAGUUGGAAACGGCUGGUGAUACCCCGUAGGCCGGGAGGUAAAAGGGCGGAGACGCCCGCCUGCGGAUGGACUCGCGUCCUAUCAGCUAGUUGGUGAGGCAACGGCUCACCGAGGCGACGACGGGUAGCCGGCCUGAGAGGGUGACCGGCCACACUGGAACUGAGACACAGUCCAGACUCCUACGGGAGGCAGCAGUGGGGAAUUUUGGGCAAUGGGGGAGACCCUGACCCAGCGACGCCGCGUGAGGGACGAAGGCCCUUGGGUCGUAAACCUCUUUUGCAGGGGAAGAAGUAGAUGACGGUACCUUGCGAAUAAGUCCCGGCUAACUACGUG
rnacentral:rRNA from 1 species